AUUGAACGCUGGCGGCAUGCCUUACACAUGCAAGUCGAACGGUAACAGGUCUUCGGAUGCUGACGAGUGGCGAACGGGUGAGUAAUACAUCGGAACGUGCCCGAGAGUGGGGGAUAACGAGGCGAAAGCUUUGCUAAUACCGCAUACGAUCUCAGGAUGAAAGCAGGGGACCGCAAGGCCUUGCGCUCACGGAGCGGCCGAUGGCAGAUUAGGUAGUUGGUGGGAUAAAAGCUUACCAAGCCGACGAUCUGUAGCUGGUCUGAGAGGACGACCAGCCACACUGGGACGGGGACACGGCCCAGACUCCUACGGGAGGCAGCAGUGGGGAAUUUUGGACAAUGGGCGCAAGCGCGAUCCAGCCAUGCCGCGUGCAGGAUGAAGGCCUUCGGGUUGUAAUCUGCUUUUGUACGGAACGAAAAGACUCCUUCUAAUAAAGGGGGUUCAUGACGGUACCGUAAGAAUAAGCACCGGCUAACUACGUGCCAGCCGCCGCCGUAA
rnacentral:rRNA from 1 species